rnacentral:rRNA from 1 species
AGAGCGAACGCUGGCGGCAGGCUUAACACAUGCAAGUCGAGCGGGCGUAGCAAUACGUCAGCGGCAGACGGGUGAGUAACGCGUGGGAACGUACCUUUGGUUCGGAACAACACAGGGAAACUUGUGCUAAUACCGGAUAAGCCCUUACGGGGAAAGAUUUAUCGCCGAAAGAUCGGCCCGCGUCUGAUUAGCUAGUUGGUGAGGUAACGGCUCACCAAGGCGACGAUCAGUAGCUGGUCUGAGAGGAUGAUCAGCCACAUUGGGACUGAGACACGGCCCAAACUCCUACGGGAGGCAGCAGUGGGGAAUAUUGGACAAUGGGCGCAAGCCUGAUCCAGCCAUGCCGCGUGAGUGAUGAAGGCCCUAGGGUUGUAAAGCUCUUUUGUGCGGGAAGAUAAUGACGGUACCGCAAGAAUAAGCCCCGGCUAACUUCGUGCCAGCAGCCGC